rnacentral:lncRNA from 1 species
GGGGUGUCAACAAACUGAACAUGAGUGAGCUGGGAUAAUUUAGUAUUCGGUGCGUUUCAUAAAUGAGCCGAACAUCAGCUGACUUAUUAAAGUAUCGAGUCGAAAAAUUCAUCUUGUGUUCGGCUCGUUUAUUAAAGAGCUAGACACGAUCUGACUUAUGAAACAGUAAAUCAAAAAGAUUUAAAAGGAUAUAUACAUAGGAAAUAAUUUUAUGAAAUCUUACUUAUUAGACUUUGAUCUAAUAAGCUGAAACUUUACGCAUAAAUAAACUUUUUUAUAAUUAUAAUUGAGUUAGACUUUUAUAUUUAGGUUAGGCUAAAAACUAUAUUUUAUAUAUAUAAUUAAUUAUUUAUAUAUAUAAAUAUAUAUUAUAAGAUGAGCGAGCUGAUCUCAAUUUAUGUUUGGCUUGUUUAUUAAAUGAGCUAAAAAAUUCAGCUAGUAUUCAGGUCGUUUACUAAACGAGCUAUUCGAUCUUGAGUUUAUUUCAAAUCGAACACGGGCUGACUCGCGAAUGACA